GGCCGGGCUAGCGGGCUACUGGGCUGCGGAGACCAGAGCCCGGCUCCACUGAAGAAACCCGCCGGCUGCUGGGGCAGGGCGGCGAAAGGUCAGUCGGCCGAGAGGAGUCCGUGGAGCCACCGUUUCAUAGCCUCAGGGAAAGGAUCGGGCGUGCUCACGAGCCCUCUAACCCAUGGCUUAAACACCCGCUUCCUAAGCCUGGGUUCUUAUGCCUUUGUUUGAAAAACAUGGUUCCCUGUGAAAUUUUACAUGUAGAAGAAAGCUUCACACUACGAGAGCUCUCAGGAUAUAAUUAUUUCAGACAGAUACUGGGAACAUAAGAUGGCUUAUCAAUCUAAGAUGGCCUUCCUGUCCUUCGGAUUGAACUGAAACCAUCCCUGAUUCCAGGGAUAGGUAGAUGAUCCAGGUUUGGACAAUCAAAAUAUUGAACCACCCUGGACCUACAAGUGUUUCUGGGAUGGGAACAUGCAAACGUUGGUCCAAAUUGUUGUUCUAGGCAGCCCAGUACAUUUCUCCAAUGCCUGAUGGAAUGAUAGGGUAUGCAUAAAUGUUCAUGUGGGCUCUGGAGUAUACCAGGAACUGAAGUAAGGUACAUGGACGUCUUGAAUAUUGUAACUGAGAUGGGCAAGCCUACACCUUUGCAAAUAAAGGAGGAUUGGGAAAGAUUAAGGUACUUCCUAAGCGUGGCUACUCCAAUGAAGCUUUAGUAUAUGUACUGAAAGAAGAUCCUCUCAUACUGCCACAGCCAAGAGAUAAGGUUGUAAAUCUUUAUUGGGAGAAGCCGUCAAGGACAGUUCUGUGAAAUGAAAGGAUCUCUGGAUCACCACAAAGUCUGGCUCAGUGACUAUGGCUUUGCAAACACUAAACAUUCCUGUCUCAAGUCCUGUAGAUGGCUUGAAAUAGUAUACAUAAGCAUGCCUUAUAAACAUCUUCAGUCUUUAUCAACUCUUUGGAGAUUCAGCCAUUCUUUUUUGUACUUUAGGGAAUUAAAUCAUUUUAUAAUGUAUAAAUCUGAGCAUGGCCGAUGGCAGAAGAAAUUUUGUCAUACGUUUUUAAAGAAAUAAAAAUGUAUUAUGUUUUAAAAUUCCUUUAACUGUUUUUCUUACAAAAU
rnacentral:lncRNA from 10 species